ensembl:lncRNA
AUCCCAAUGCUGAGAACCCGGGCUAGCGCCUGAAAGACCGACUUGGCUGUCCCCCAGAGCAGAGCGCCUGAUGCAUCCGCUCUGAUUCUUUUCAAUAAUUAUAAUCCCCUGACUUAGAUUAGAUAUUAUGUAGGAAACAAAAGGAAGCUUUAGUUUUGAAACAUCCCUUCUCACACGUUAGCACAAUCCUUAAAUAAUGCACCUUUGAGGCUCUGACUAAUUCGUCAUGCCUGGCACCAGGAACAUGUCUGGGUUCCAAGAAUUUGCUGGAAAUGCGCCAGAUAUCCUUCCCUAGCUAGAGUUGGAAGUGUGGUGCUGAGGACCCAGAAGCAGUGGUCUUGGGGGUCCCUCGUCCUCUGAGGUCCUAUCACUAUCCAAUUGGGUCCCUGGCACACGAUGGUCAAGGGGUUGGGGGUUCAUGUGGCCGAGGGCAGGCCCUGCCCUGUCCAUGUGUCUCAUGAGUGGUUUGGGUUUCACUGGUUCCCAUCCCCAGCUGCACAUUAGAAUCACCUGCAGAGCUUUAAACAGUAUUACUGGAACCACCCAUUCCUGGGUUCUGAUUUAAUAGGUGGGGGCGGGGCUCAAUCCCAGGUAUUUUUCUCGAGGUGCACAACCACCGCCUGAGAUGAUCUCUGGGACCCUUCCAGUUCUAUAAAAGUCCACAAUCUUGAUGAAUAGCAAACAGGGUCACAACAGCAUUUCAGUCCAGUCUCUACACAAGUUCAUUCCUCUGCCUGAAAGGCAAACCUCUGAAAGUUACUUACGUGGAAGCGGCAAAGGCAAGCGCUGGAUUUGGAUGCUGAGUUAGCUGAUGCCAGCCUGCUUAAAUAGCUGGGUUGGCUGACGCAGGCUGUGGAUAGCACGUUUAUUUACGCCUGUGAGUGCACGCUCAAGCAGGGACCUGAAAAACCUGCAGCGUGGGCAGGAGGAGAACAGCGGAGCGUUCCAUCUCUCCUGGAGAACUCUUCACCAAGAUCGGAUGAGAGAGGUGCAGCUGAGAGAAAAAGGAAGAAAUGCAGGACCCUGGACCCUUGGCC